UAACCUUGCUGAAUCUAGGUCUGUUUCCCAAGGUAUUGUCAUACAAGUAGGCCCUGAUUGCUCAUCUUCCACUGACCUUA
rnacentral:snoRNA from 1 species